CUUGUAAAUAAAAAGUAAACACAUAAGGUGAAAUCCAAAACAUGACUACUCAAAGCUAUCAAUCUUCUUAUAUUCUGCUUGUUUUAUGCAUGAGUUUUAUUAUGAUAUCUGAAAUUGUUACAAGUUUGGAGACUCCAAUAUUAGUUGAAAAGCCAAUAUGUAUUCAUGGGAGUAGUGUAGACCCAAGAUUUUGCUGCAUAGAGAAUUGUAGUCCCAGUUGUCCAACAGAUUGCAUCAAUAAGGGAUUUGUAAAAGGUGGACAGUGCAAUCCUCAACUCGGAAAUAAGUGUUGUUGUUUUGUAUAAUGAGUUACAAUCUCUCAUUAUGAUUGUUAAAAAUAAAAGAUGUACUUGAUUAUGAAUAAAAGCACAAUAUAUAUAUUUUUUUUAUGAUGAAUAAAUCCACUUUAAAUUUUA